GUGAACUUUGUGGACGAGAGAAUUGAAGAAUAUCCGUAAGGUAGUUGGGAAUUAGAAGCGCAAAAUCGAGCACUUUGAAGGAUCCAAGGAUUCAUAGAUGGUAACUUGGAAUGAAUUUAUAACCACCAAAGUGCAUUUUUCGUUGAGUUGUUAAUAAAAAUUUGAACAACAAAUUCAUGAACAUCUUCAAAACGUUCCUAUUUCGAAGUCAUAGAAAAACUUUCAUAUGUGGACUUAUUUUUCGUGGACUCUAGUGGUUUCGAUCCAAUUGAAGCGUCUUCAAUUCAGCCCUGAGGUAACUUAAUCCGCAUUCAAAUCCCUUGCCGGAAAUGACAGAUUUCUCCGUAAUUAAUUAAUAAGGACGUUGUGCACAUCAUCGACAAACAAUGGAUUUAAUUUAAACAACCUCAAAUUGGUUAAUCCAGACGUACAUAAAUCAAUAUCACAAAAUUCGUUGAUGUU